UACGUAGGGGGCAAACGUUGUCCGGAUUAUUGGGCGUAAAGAGCGUGUAGGCGGCCAGAUAGGUCUGUUGUGAAAACUCGAGGCUCAACCUCGAGACGCCGAUGGAAACCAUCUGGCUAGAGUCCGGAAGAGGAGAGUGGAAUUCCUGGUGUAGCGGUGAAAUGCGCAGAUAUCAGGAAGAACACCCGUGGCUAAGGCGGCUCUCUAGUACGGUACUGACGCUGAGACGCGAAAGCGUGGGGAGCGAACAGG
rnacentral:rRNA from 1 species